UUUUUCAUGAGAUCUACUCUGGUUUUGAAGUUUUGAAGCUUAAAAGGGAGUUUUGGAAGUUUGGAGGCUUUUGGAGCUUGGAUCCUCCACACCUCCGAGUUAGAGAUCGCACCACCUCUCGAUCUUCAAGAGGUAAGUGUAGAUCCUUGCUUCCCUACUGUUUUAAUGAAGUUUUAGUACGUUUAAUGAUGUUUUGAUGGUUGAGUAUGGG
rnacentral:lncRNA from 1 species